rnacentral:lncRNA from 1 species
CAAGGCAGGUCCAGUAGUAACCUGCAGGGCACAUCCAAACCCUGCCUCCUCUUCUCUUCAUGUAGCACUGAGUGCCUGACAAUCAUUACAGGUGAGCCUGUCUUCCCGGAGGCCCAGGUCUCUAAGUGGCCUAUGUUGGAACCUUCAGGGCUAAGAGAAGCAGACAGACGGAUGUGGAUGGAUCCCUGUGUAAGGAAACCAUCUUUUUCAACUCACCAUCUCAUGCUUUUUCUUUUUUUAACCAAAACCACCUUACUUAAGAAUCUUCCUCUUACAAAGAAUUUGGUGGGGAAAACUGCCAACUCAUAAGAAAUGCCAGACUAGUGUGUGCACCCAGUGAGGCUGGAAACAAACUUGCUCCCCACCCGAGGAUGGCUGCACUUUAAUUGGGUGUGGGGUGCUGUGGGUCCCCCUUCCAUGCUAGUUAUAGCUGCCCUCCUGGAGCAGCAAUCAGAAGACCAAUCCUACGAAGGCACAGUCCCAUCACCCCUUAGGUCCCAGGCCUUCCACAUCCACAGGGCACAGUACGUGAGCACACCCAGCGGAGGCAGGUUUAUUCAGUGUCAGUGAAACUGACUCCCAGCUUCAGCAGGUUACUGCAGCUUCUUGAACAAUCAAGGUGAUCUGAUCAGAUCUAACAUAAGAAGCUCAUCUGCUUCCAAUUCAUGACCAAAGUGGCCAGAGACUGAAAAUACCCUUCCGUCUGCUGGAAUUUCCCCUCACUAACAUGUCUGUUGUCCUGUGAUAGUUCUCCAUGUGGACAAAGUUCUUUCGAGACCGUUCUGUUACAUCCUCCUUAAACCACCCAGACUGCCUGUUGAAUCAGCUUCUGUAGUUAAACACCUAAAGACUAUGUUUAAAUGCCUGUAGGUUUUAUGUUUGGUUUGGUUUUGUAUAUAAAUGAUUGUGCGGCUGGGGACCAGGGAUGAACGAUGGUACACAUUCCGUUGUCUUUGCAUUACGGUUUGUGUGUAAGCUUUUUGUUUGGUCUGAGUGCUUUUGGUGAGUCCUCUAAAAUGCUAAAACUCCCCGAAAGCACAACCAUGCGGCCACACAAGUUAAGGUCCCUGGAAGUAGAGGGAAAUACAGGUGAGCGCUCAGAGUCCCACAGGCUACUCCGACGUCCUCAGGAGUCAGGCCCACUGAGACAGAAACAACUGUCAACUGGUGCCCAGGCUGCCCGCCCACCAUUCUCUGAGCGCAGGCCCACAGAGAGCGGGUACAGAAAUGAUUUUCUGAGUCAUUUCUCUGCUUGUCACUAGGAGGUGAGAUCAGUGGUGAGAGGAAGGGCCACCCUCAGUCACCAGUGGGCUAGGUGUGCCGUCUGUAAUUAGCACUUUGAGCCAAGCACCCCGGUGGCUCUCGGAGUUCCUCCAAUGCCAAUGGA